AAAACAUUAUCGAAGCAUUGCAGAAGCCCAGGGACAGUUAUGACAAAUUAAAUCAUAGUUAUUUAUGCCCGGGAAAUUCCGAUCAGCCAAAAGGGAAGCUUGAACUUGAAGGUCACAAACAUGUGCAAGAUUGCAGAUCCACGUUGCCUCGUCUGAAGUCAUGUCGUGUGCAGUGAGCAUGAGAAAAUCAACCCUACUUUACCCUAGACUAGAAAAAAGACUGGAGGUCAGAAUGCAGGAUGAUUGAGCAAGGAGUGCUGGCAGAUGGACUAUUGAGGUCAACAAAAAAUUUGGACUUUCAUCAGGUGGACACAUGUUCAGCAAGAAAUUCUCAAAUCAAAUGAAUGAUGGCUGUCUGUGGAAAAGAGAUUUUCUCAGAAUAUAUCACAGAUUAGAAGCAGGAGUUACAUAUUUAUCUGAUCAAAGAAAUGUUUUUGUGUGUAGAAAUGUGGAAGUCAAUGCAUGUUAUCAUAGUUACUGCUGCUUGU